GACGUAGGGCGCGAGCGUUGUUCGGAAUUACUGGGCGUAAAGCGCGCGCAGGCGGUCUUCCAAGUCAGUGGUGAAAGCCCGGAGCUCAACUCCGGAACUGCCAUUGAAACUGUAAGACUUGAGGAUGAGAGAGGUGAGUGGAAUUCCCAGUGUAGAGGUGAAAUUCGUAGAUAUUGGGAAGAACACCGGUGGCGAAGGCGGCUCACUGGCUCAUUACUGACGCUCAGGCGCGACAGCGUGGGGAUCAAACAGG
rnacentral:rRNA from 1 species